AGCUGAGAGGAAGCGUAAGAAACGUAAAAAAAUUGCUCUAAAAAUUAAGAAAGCAGAGAAAAAACAAAGAAAGAAAGAGAAGAAAUUGAAAAAAAAGCUGAAAAAAAAUAAAUUAAAAAUCACAGCUAAAGAACAGAAGAUUGUAACACUGGAUGAGCCAUCUACAGAUAGACUGUUGAAAGAUAUACCUGUAAAAGUGACGGAACGGGCUAAGGCAAUGGCUCCUAUGACCAAGGAGCAAUGGGAAAAGAAGCAAAGCAUUAUUAGAAGAGUUUACGAUGAAGAAACUGGACGACAUAGGUUGAUCAAAGGCGAUGGUGAAGUAUUGGAGGAGAUAGUCAGCCGCGACCGUCAUAGGGAGAUAAACAGGCAGGCGACACGAGGAGAUGGAGAAUAUUUUCAGUCUCAACUAAGGCUUUCUAAGUGAUUAUGCUCAACAAGUGAAUAUUUAUUUUAAUAUCUAAACGAGAAAGUUAUGAAAUAAAAGGCAGACGACUCCUAUAGAUUGACUAUUAUUGUCAGGUUCCUUUCUGAUUUUAUUAUGCAGAAGAUUAGCAAUCGGAAUGAAUGACAUUGUAGUAUUUUGUUUAGCAAAUAACAUAUUUCGGUAACAUAUCUUUUCAUUGUGCUAGUUUACAAAUUCUUACAGAGUAUAGGACCAUACGAAAUAAGUUCAAAUGCGAACAGAGAAUGACAUGUGCAUUUCAAGGAACAUCUGCUCAGCGAGAUUCGUUAAGAAAAUUAACGCUCAUGAUCUAUGAUUGUAACCCUGUAUACAUCAAUCAUACAUAUAGCAAUUCAAAAGAUCCAGGUCAACAAAAGCAUUGAAGCUAUCGGGAGGAUUUGUAGCUAACAGUAUAAUCCCACGUUGGAAGCUAUAAAAGUAUUUGUUGGUUUAAGGAUUUAUUAUGAACAUAGCUUGAAUCUUUUAUGUACAAGAUAUUUUACAAGGUCCUUUACGUUGAACUUGAAAUGUUGGGUAUUUCAAAUCUGGUUUUCGCUUAAAUUCUAAAAUGCGCUCAAUUGCGUAAAACGUACUCAAUUGCGUGUGCCACGAGUAGAUAUGGAUAAAACUACUUAUUCAUCCCAGCACCGACACCGUGCACUAAUCGCAAUCGACACUAAUCCACAUUCGCUCUUCUGUACAAAGUUUGUAUACUACAUGUAACGCAAAUAGUACUGGCGCAUUGAAACUACAUUCUGAUUCAGAGAAAUUGAAAUUCAAAUGCAUAUUGAAGCACCAAUCAAACAGCGUAACAAGUCCAGAUCAUUAAAUGACGAUUAACAAGAAUAUCUCCAA
rnacentral:misc_RNA from 1 species